CAGCAGCCACGGGAAUACGUAGGGUGCGAGCGUUAAUCGGAAUUACUGGGCGUAAAGCGUGCGCAGGCGGUUAUAUAAGACAGAUGUGAAAUCCCCGGGCUCAACCUGGGACCUGCAUCUGUGACUGUAUAGCUAGAGUACGGUAGAGGGGGAUGGAAUUCCGCGUGUAGCAGUGAAAUGCGUAGAUAUGCGGAGGAACACCGAUGGCGAAGGCAAUCCCCUGGACCUGUACUGACGCUCAUGCACGAAAGCGUGGGGAGCAAACAGGAUUAGAUACCCCUGUAGUCCCUGUCUCUUAUAA
rnacentral:rRNA from 1 species